GUCGGUUUAGUCGUUCUAGAGUUAUAAAUGGUAAAACAAACCUGUCAUUAUAUACUUAGUCCUGCCAAAAGUUCUGUUACAAGUUCAGGCCGAUAUAAAAAUGAAACUAUAAUAAAUUUCUUUAUAAAAUUAGUUUUAUUUAAUAAUGUACAAACUUUUAUUCGAAACGGCAGCACUCUCAGUUUCUUUGGUAUUGACGACGCUGCUCGAAUUAAACAUUUUUUGAGGCUCUCCGAAUUUCUGUGAGACGGCCCAUCAUCUGCAACUAUGCAACCAGGAAUAUUGCUUUGAAGCCACUGCUGGGAGUUAUGAAUGUUCCUAUCAAAAACUGCUGACACCAUUACUAUUUGUUGCACGUGCACAAACAUCUAGCUAUGGAUACUGCAACACAAUAGACAACAGGCGUUUCAUGGAAUUGCCACAGCAGAGUAAGACGAGUAUUGGUCGGUUUAAAUUAAGUUAUGUUGUUUUGAAUAUGAUUAAUAAAAAUAAACAGAUCGCAGCUUAUUAAUUUUUAACUGGCGCCCGACCAGGGACCAGCAGUGAAAAA